UAAAAUGUUGCAUAAAUCAAAUGCAUUUCACUUACACUGAAAUUAUACUUUACUAAAAGUCAUUUUUA
rnacentral:tRNA from 1 species